rnacentral:rRNA from 1 species
UACGAAGGAUCCAAGCGUUAUCCGGAUUUAUUGGGUUUAAAGGGUGCGUAGGCGGGCUAUGAGGUCAGUGGUGAAAGCCCCAAGCUUAACUUGGGAAUUGCCAUUGAUACUGAUGGUCUUGAGUACACUUGAAGUGGGCGGAAUGUGUCAUGUAGCGGUGAAAUGCUUAGAUAUGACACAGAACACCGAUUGCGAAGGCAGCUCACUAAAUUGUAACUGACGCUGAGGCACGAAAGCGUGGGGAGCAAACAGG